CACAGGGAAGCCCACCCCAUGGAUUGGCUAGAGACCUCUGACCCAGCAUCACUCGGGGCAGAAACAUGACUCAAACCAGGUAGAGUACUUUCUCAGGAAUUUGGGUCUGGGAAGCUGAGACCCUGAGCUACCAAGGGUGAGGGAACAGGAUCCAAAAUGUUGGGCUGCCGGAAGGGUGGCUGCCAUGGUGAGCGCUAGACAGGACAGCCAAGCCUUGAGCGAGGAGGGGGCUGGUUCACUAGCGAGGGGGGAAGAGUUCAGGCCUCGGGAACACACAGCAAACCCCUGUGCCAUCAAAAGUCUUGUGAUGCCAGGAGGCUGGGUGGAGUGGCUGGACAGACUCAGAUUUUGGAAUUGGAUGUGUAGUUUUGAGACAGAGUCACCAGCUCAUGUCUGGGAGGUUCCCCGUUCUGGCCUCAGUGGCGGCCUCUGGAAAAAGGCCCAUUGCCCUUAAGCUGUCUGGUUGUCGGGGGCUGGGACUGGGUCCCCCACAGGGCACGGGGGCUGGGGUCUUCUGUGAGUGUGAGUCCCUCCUCUUCUGCAUGGUAGGGAGGACUGGAUCCCCAUGGCCUCCUGGAAAGGCCCCCACUUGGGUGCUCUUCUGCCUGACCUCUCACAGUUGGUGGAUGCCCCAGAAGCUCACCUCUGGCUCAAGACUUCUCUCAUUUGCUUGUUCUGCUCAAGGCUUGCUUUGCUGGGGCCCGUGGGUACCGGCCUUCAGGCCCCAGUUCCGCGCGGCAUCGGUCACCUCAGUGGAGUGUUCCUGUGUGGACUCACACACGUGCUCAGCUCACCACAGACUCAGCAGCUGCCAACAGCACCAUUCACACUCUCAUAGCAUCUGCAGGGAGGUCCUGAUGAUGGACUGCUUUACAAGUGAAGGAGGCGAAAUGAGCCCUUCUAACUUGACACCAGUCAAUCUUAAAGAAAAUCAACCCUGAAUCUUCACUGAAAGGACCGAUGCUGAAGCUCCAAUACUUUGGCCCCCUGAUGUGAUGAGCCGACUCAUUGGAAAAGACCCUGAUGCUGGGAAAGAUGGAGGGCAGGAGGAGAAGGGGAUGGCAGAGGAUGAGAUGGUUGGAUGGUAUCACUGCCUCAAUGGACAUGAGUUUGAGAAAGCUUCAGGAGAUGGUGAAAGAUAGGUAAACGGCUUUUUCACCUCAGAAUCUUCUUCUUCCUCCUGUGUCUGAGCUCCAGGCAUGCUUGUGGGACGUCGUGGUUCACGCGCAUUCCUGCUGAGCAGUGUCCAUGGUAUUCGAGUUGUUUCCAGUUGAGGGCAGUUUCCACCAGGGAUGCUGUGAACCUUGUACAUCUUUGUGACCAGAAGUCCCUUUCCACCACUUAGCGUGUGUUAGUGUCUCGCCCACAUUUGCAGUGACAGCCAUGGCAUCUGGCACCCAGUAGGUGCUUAGUAAGGAGUGUUUGCAAGGUGAAUCAUGAAUCGGGAGGCCAGGCAGGUCCAGGGUGGGGACGCAGCCCGUGUUGGGGUCAGGCGUCUGGUUAGCCUGGUGUUGGAUCUGCUCCAUUUGCUUAUAGCCCACCUGCUGGGUUUCAGAAGGAAACUGACGAUGCGAAGGAGUCGAGCCCCUCAAGAGUCCCCACAGCAGAUGUUGGAGACGUGCUUUUCCUUUUCUUUGGAGGAAAAAUUCUUCCAGACCUGUGACUCGGAUAAUCCCAUGAAGCAUCUGUGACCCCCUAAAAAUAUCUGCUUCGUACCAUUUUGUGGAGCACAAUAUUUAUACAGCCCACAGUGUAAUUAAAAUGGAUGUUUGGUUACCUCUCAAGAACAGCUGUAGGCUCCCCAAGCCCAGGAUGGGGUUUGCAGGUGCCUGUGAAGCUGGGUGGGCAGGGGACCCUGGC
ensembl:lncRNA